rnacentral:rRNA from 1 species
UACGUAGGUGGCAAGCGUUGUCCGGAAUUAUUGGGCGUAAAGCGCGCGCAGGUGGCUAUGUAAGUCUGAUGUUAAAGCCCGAGGCUCAACCUCGGUUCGCAUUGGAAACUGUGUAGCUUGAGUACAGGAGAGGAAAGUGGUAUUCCACGUGUAGCGGUGAAAUGCGUAGAGAUGUGGAGGAACACCAGUGGCGAAGGCGACUUUCUGGCCUGUAACUGACACUGAGGCGCGAAAGCGUGGGGAGCAAACAGG